rfam:Microgenomates bacterium GW2011_GWC1_43_11 TV63_C0019, whole genome shotgun sequence.
GGGGAUGAUCGGUUCGACAGAUUGUUGCUCUUUAACACUGCAAGCCGACGUUGAUGGAUCGUCGUAAAAGAACUAUCAAACACUAACUGCUGACAACGUCAUCAGUAAACUCGAGGCAAAACUUGCUUCUUUGGAAGCUCGAUUAGCUUUGAGGGGUCGACAAUUCGCGUUCGCGCGAGCCUAAGACCCGUCCUCUAUUUCUUUAUUCCGGUGAAGGAUAGAAGGGCGUAAAACCAGCCGGAACGUCAGAAGUCGGAUGACCAGCCGAUUUUGGAGUAAUCCAUUUGGUCAACCCUUUCUAGAAAUAUUUGUCUGUUCUUUUUUCUGGAAAGAAUCAAACAGACUAUGCUUGUAGAUGUGUUUUGAACAAUAGUUUGGACCCGAGCUCAACACUCGGCAUCUCCACAG